GAGACGUUCAGCGAAGGUAUGAUUCCCGUUGUGAGGUUAAGCUUCAUAACAAUGAAGCUAAACAAGAUGCUUAGGAAAAAGCUCACCACAAAAGCCCUCAAGGUCAGCUGCUUCUUCCACGAAGAUCUACGAGAGGAGAGAUGGUGGACGGAGUAUUAUUGGAACGAGAAUCAAAGCUCUUAAGGAGUCAACUUGGACUCGUUUUUAACAUUCUGACAAAUCAGAUAGCUUUAUUAUACUUUAUUUACUUAAAAUUCUUUGUCGGUAUGUCUGUAAACAGCUAAUUAUAUUUGGCAUUUAAGUUGUUAAUGGUUUACUAAAUCAACACAAACACCAUUUAAGUUACAAGUUCUUAAA